UUACCUUUUCUGUCUGCACAGGGAUACCGUGUUCCUGAAACUUAAGUGUUUCACACUUUAAAAUAUACAUUGUGCUGCUUAUAAUUAUGCUUCUGAAGGGGCACACUUACAGCGAUUUAUGAAAUUUCUAAUUUAGAAAUGGGCUAUGAGUCACUAGUGCAUGGAGAAAUUAGCAAAAUCAGAUACUGAUCAGUGUACAUAUAUACUCAGCAUAAAUAAUUAGAUUAUUUUUAGAAUCAAUUUUUUAAAAGCUCUGUGCUAAGCUCUUUUAAAGGCACUCCAGAAGAUUCCAGCAGUAUCCACCAAUGUCUACCAUGGCUCUUGUCCAUUGCAUGAUCACCACUGGGGGAGGUGGACUCUCUUACAAUGGCAAAUACUGUAUGUGAGGGGCCGACGCAGAUGUCAUGAUGAUGCUGAUGGGUGAAAAUCCACAGUUCUGUCACUUACUAGUACUGGGCCGAGGACAACUUCUCUGAGCUUCUGUUCCCUCAUCCAGGGCAUGCAGCUCUGAAUGGGACCUUUUGUAACUGGAAAUUCCACAGUUCCAGCUGCCCCUGACUCUCGUCCAUGCCAGACGACAUCCCCAGAGACUUUGAAGUUGCAUGUUUGAAUGAAGCACAGCCCCACCCCACCUCUCACCCUAUGUGCCUGCCCACAGUAUCAGUCAGACUCUGGGAGAGCAGUGGGACCAGCUUCUGGCUACCAACAGGAAUCCAGCACAGUGUUGUGCCUAUGCAAGGAUAGAUGAAUGAGUGGAGCUCUGAGAGAUGAGGCCCCUGGUGGAAGGGCGCUUGAGGACAUCAGGCCACUUUCCUUGCAUCUAUGAAGUCAUACCAUGUUGGCUGACACCUCAUAAGCCUGGACACAAUGCAAGUAUCCCAAUAUGUUAAACUUAUUUGUCCAUUUACAAUUUCAUUCGAUGUUUACUGAGCACCAACUUUCUGUUAGGUCAUGCUGGGGAAGAUAGCAGAAUGGAAAAAUGUAGUCUCUGUCUCAACAAUCCAGGUGGGAGAAGACUUGAGUUUCAUGCAGAAAGCAAGAUAGCAAGGAAUGGACACUUAUCUCAUCUUGAGAGAUAUCUAUGAGAAGACUUCCUGAGUGGGAUGGCUUUGAGUUGUUACAAGGAUGUAGUAAGAAAUAAAAAUCCGUAAAGGCAUUAAGCAACAACCACAGCAACACUGUUUUUUUCUAUAUUCACACCAACAUUUCUGACAUCAGAUGUGUGGGUUUUUCCACACCAAGCAAUUCUCUAGUUCUCGGCAGUCACCAGUUGAGUGUCCUACAAUUUAAAUUCCUACACUAACUGGACAGACCACACAGGUUAAGAGCUUAGUCCACAAGACUGUCCCCCACUUCAUAAACCAGUUGCAAGGCCUGGGUUGUCACCUGUACUUCUAACUGACUGGCCAUAAACGGGGGUUCCCACAACUCCUCCUUGGAUUGGUACAUUUGCUAGAACAGGUCACAGAACUUGGGAAAACAGUUUACUUACUAGUGUACCAGUUUAUUAUAAAAGGAUACAACUCAGGAAUAGCAAGAAGGAAGAGAAGCAAGCAUAGGGCAAGGUGGGAAGGGGUUCAUGGAGCUUCCAUGCCCUCUCUGGGUUCACCACCCUCCCAACACCUCAAUGUGUUCACUAACCAGGAAACUCUCUCUACCCUGUUGUUUGGGGCUUUUGUGGGGGAUUCAUUACAUAGGCAUGGUUGCUUAAAUCAUUGGCCACCGGUAAUUGAAAAUCUCCAGCCCCUCUCCCCUUCCUGAGGAGGUUGAGGAAGGGACUGAAAGUUACAACCCUGUAAUCACAUGGCUGGUUCUCCUGGAAGCAUCCCUCCAUCUUUUGGAGCUUUCCACAAGUCACCCCAUUAGUAUAAACUCACGUAUGGUUGAAAGGGAUAUAUUAUGAAAAAUAAAGGAUGUUCCUUUCUCCUCUAUCACUCAGGAAACUCCAAGAGUUUGGCAGUUCUGUGCCAGGAAUUGGGAACAAAGAUCAAGUAUACACUUCUUAUUAUAUUACAGUAUCACAGCUUUCCAUGCAGAGGGGGCAGAGCAAUUAAAGCAGAGCAGGUGUGAAAAAAAAAUGUGAGGUGUGGCUAUAAUAACGAAUUUCUGUGAGAGGGUGGGAAUGAGCUUGAACAAUCAGUAGCAGCCUUGCUGUGUUAAUGAGUUUGAAACUAUAUUAUUCUCUUGUGGGGGCAUGGAUAGUAAUUAUACUUUACACACAUAGAAUGAUUCUGUGAGCAGUAAGCACUCUGCUUUAUGUGAAUGAUCUCAUUAAAUAUUUGCUACCACUCUGA